rnacentral:rRNA from 1 species
ACGCGAAGAACCUUACCCAGGCUUGAACAGCGAGUGACCACUUCCGAAAGGGAGCUUCCGCAAGGACACUCGUAGAGGUGCUGCAUGGCUGUCGUCAGCUCGUGUCGUGAGAUGUUGGGUUAAGUCCCGCAACGAGCGCAACCCUUGUCUUCUGUUGCCAUCAGGUUAUGCUGGGCACUCUGGAGAGACUGCCGGUGAUAAACCGGAGGAAGGUGGGGAUGACGUCAAGUCAGCAUGGCCUUUAUGUCUGGGGCUACACACGUGCUACAAUGGCCGGCACAAACCGUCGCGAGCCCGCGAGGGGGAGCUAAUCGGAGAAAGUCGGUCUCAGUUCGGAUCGUAGGCUGCAACUCGCCUGCGUGAAGUUGGAAUCGCUAGUAAUCGCGGAUCAGCACGCCGCGGUGAAUACGUUCCCGGGCCUUGUA